AUUGAGCGCUGGCGGCAUGCCUUACACAUGCUAGUCGAACGGUAACGGGCCUUCGGGUGCCGACGAGUGGCGAACGGGUGAGUAAUACAUCGGAACGUGCCCGAUCGUGGGGGAUAACGAGGCGAAAGCUUUGCUAAUACCGCAUACGAUCUACGGAUGAAAGCAGGGGACCGCAAGGCCUUGCGCGGACGGAGCGGCCGAUGGCAGAUUAGGUAGUUGGUGGGAUAAAAGCUUACCAAGCCGACGAUCUGUAGCUGGUCUGAGAGGAUGAUCAGCCACACUGGGACUGAGACACGGCCCAGACUCCUACGGGAGGCAGCAGUGGGGAAUUUUGGACAAUGGGCGCAAGCCUGAUCCAGCCAUGCCGCGUGCAGGAUGAAGGCCUUCGGGUUGUAAACUGCUUUUGUACGGAACGAAAAGCCUUCUUUUAAUACAGGAGGGUCAUGACGGUACCGUAAGAAUAAGCACCGGCUAACUACGUG
rnacentral:rRNA from 1 species